UCUAAUCAGUUAUCUUCAAUCUCUGAUCUGCUGACAAAACACCUCUUCCUCACCCUCUCACUAACGCUCGACCGCGACUACCCUCCCUGAGACUCCGACCAUUCUUUGCUCUCCCUCCCUACCUCACCAUCAAGGAUUCAAGUCUUUGGAAUUAGAAUCGGCAGCCGAGCCCCAAAUCGAAAGAGUUCGACACCGCAAAGCAUGGGGCACAGAAAGGCGGUGGUGGAGGAGCACAAAGUUGUUGGAGAGGAUGGCAGAGGACAACGAGAAGAUGGAAGAGAGUGAUGAAGGUGAAGGGUGCAUUGGGAAGAAAAAAUUGAUUUCGAAUGAAGCCUUCUCCCCGGUAUCCAAAUACUACCUCCAUGUAAGUAAUCCAAUUCUGUCAAUAUCAGGAAUUGACCUCUUGAUUUUACAUGGGUCCGGCAACACUGUGCAUUCCGGUUGAAUUGGUAAACGGAGGAAUAAUCAUGAAUGGGGAAUGACUCUCAUUCCGCCAUUUCCUUUCCCCAUAUGUAAACACGCCAUAAGUUAAUUGAGACACAAUCAAAUGAAAACUUUUUUAUUACAAUCAUAACCACAAAGCUAUCUCUCAUAGGCUUAUUUUAAGCUCUCAUGCAACCACAAAUAUCGUCUCGCUUUAUACAGAAAAUGAAGAGAUGAAUCAGACUAAACAACAAAAGAAGAACUCAGCAGUCUUAUUAUUUUAAAAGCAUCCAUUACCUCAAAUCAUUUUAAAAUAUUUUGAAAUAUGGUGUUAUUCAAUAACCUCCCCCCAAUCUUAUUUAUUUUUCAAGCAUUGAUUCAAAUUGGCUAUUCCAAUUUUCAACCAUGUUAUUCCAAAUCCUACACACUCUUACACACAGGACAAACCAAAUAAUAUUCAAAACAUAUACAUAACUGUUUUAAAAAGCCCCAAAAAUUGGCUAAUACCUUUUCUCAAACAGAUGGUAAUCACUUGUAACAGGAACAAACACAUGGCAGCUACUGUUAAAAAAUACAGCCAAAAAGAGUUGGUGAAAUCAGAUACAGAACAUGCAAGCAGUCAUAAAACAACAUGAAUAAAUAAAGGAAAAAAAUAACAACUCAUCCUCCCAGAUAUCAGAUUCAAACACCGUAAACUUGCAAUUAACAAAACAAACAGUGAGAUUUAAAAAAAAAUUCAAACAUGCAAGA